GCGAUCCAGCGCGGGAGGGCGGCGUGCGGGGCUGGCACAGCACCGUAACACCCCGCACACCCGCGGGGGCCCCUCCCGACCGCGCCAUGAAAGGAGAUGCUGGCGGAGGUUUCAUGAUUGUAGA
rnacentral:lncRNA from 1 species